rnacentral:lncRNA from 1 species
CUGACGGCGGCGGCGCUUACCGUCACCGGAACUCCAACUGCCUACGAAGCCUUACGAACCUACAACUUCCCACCGGGAAUUCUCCCAAUAGGAGUAACCAAUUACGAAUUAGACAAAUCAAGUGGAAAUUUCCGCGCUGAUCUAAAUCGUUCGUGCAGUUUUUCGUUACAAGGUUCGUAUCAAUUGAGUUACAAAUCAACGAUCACCGGUAAAAUAACGGAAAACAGACUUACCGAUCUCAGGGGUAUAAGUGUCAAAGUGAUGUUCUUCUGGGUGAAUAUUCUUGAAGUUGUUAGGAAAAGUGAUAAUCUUGAUUUCUCUGUUGGUGUUGCUUCUGCGGCUUUUCCUUUGGAUGAUUUCUUUGAAUCUCCGCAGUGUGGC